rnacentral:misc_RNA from 1 species
UACGUAGGGUGCGAGCGUUAAUCGGAAUUACUGGGCGUAAAGCGUGCGCAGGCGGUCUCGCAAGUCGAGUGUGAAAUCCCCGAGCUUAACUUGGGAAUUGCGCUCGAAACUAUGAGGCUAGAGUGUGGCAGAGGGAGGUGGAAUUCCACGUGUAGCGGUGAAAUGCGUAGAGAUGUGGAGGAACACCGAUGGCGAAGGCAGCCUCCUGGGCUAACACUGACGCUCAUGCACGAAAGCGUGGGGAGCAAACAGG